rnacentral:rRNA from 1 species
ACAGGGAUUGCCCUAGUAACGGCGAGUGAAGCGGCAACAGCUCAAAUUUGAAAUCUGGCGUCUUUGGCGUCCGAGUUGUAAUUUGCAGAGGGCGCUUUGGCAUUGGCAGCGGUCCAAGUUCCUUGGAACAGGACGUCACAGAGGGUGAGAAUCCCGUACGUGGUCGCUAGCCUUUACCGUGUAAAGCCCCUUCGACGAGUCGAGUUGUUUGGGAAUGCAGCUCUAAAUGGGAGGUAAAUUUCUUCUAAAGCUAAAUACUGGCCAGAGACCGAUAGCGCACAAGUAGAGUGAUCGAAAGAUGAAAAGCACUUUGGAAAGAGAGUUAAAAAGCACGUGAAAUUGUUGAAAGGGAAGCGCUUGCAGCCAGACUUGCCUGUAGUUGCUCAUCUAGGUUUCUACCUAGUGCACUCUUCUAUAGGCAGGCCAGCAUCAGUUUGGGCGGUUGGAUAAAGGUCUCUGUCAUGUACCUCUCUUCGGGGAGAACUUAUAGGGGAGACGACAUGCAACCAGCCUGGACUGAGGUCCGCGCAUCUGCUAGGAUGCUGGCGUAAUGGCUGUAAGCGGCCCGUCUUGAAACACGGACCAAGGAGUCUAACAUCUAUGCGAGUGUUUGGGUGUCAAGCCCGAGCGCGUAAUGAAAGUGAACGGAGGUGGGAACCUUUCGGGGUGCACCAUCGACCGAUCCUGAUGUCUUCGGAUGGAUUUGAGUAAGAGCAUAGCUGUUGGGACCCGAAAGAUGGUGAACUAUGCUUGAAUAGGGUGAAGCCAGAGGAAACUCUGGUGGAGGCUCGCAGCGGUUCUGACGUGCAAAUCGAUCGUCAAAUUUGGGCAUAGGGGCGAAAGACUAAUCGA